UUCGGUGGUCAUAGCGUGAGGGAAACGCCCGGUUACAUUCCGAACCCGGAAGCUAAGCCUUACAGCGCCGAUG
rnacentral:rRNA from 1 species